rnacentral:rRNA from 1 species
ACUUACAAAUUUAAUGUAGAGCACAUUUCACGAAGGACUUUGAGCUAACUAUAAUACUGUAGUAGUAGUUAAAUUAUACGUUGCAUAGUGUAAAGAUAAACUGUAGUUAGGGGUGACAGGCCUACCAAAAAAUCCGAUAACUUGAUAUGUAGGAAAAAUAUUUAGUAUUUAUACAACUCUACAACGGUUAGGUUUUAGAGACAGAAAAGAAACCUUAUUAAAGGUGCAAAUUUCCUAACAGAAAUUGUUUUAUUUUUUUAAAAAUAACCCAGGUGGAACUUUCUAUUAUACUAUUUCUAGUGAUACAAACUAUCACGUUGUUAAUGUAAGUAUUAGUAAUAAGUAAAUUGCAGUAAGGAACUCGGCAAACCAAUUCGCUCAACUGUUUAUCAAAAACAUAACCAGGAGAAUUUCUUCUUGGCUUUUUCUGCUCAAUGGUAUUCUAAAUAGCCGCAGUACCCUGACUGUGCAAAGGUAGCAUAAUCAUUUGGCUUAUAAUUGAAGUCUGGCAUGAAGGAAUAAAUGGGUGACCACUGUCUCAUGGCAAUUAUGUUAAUUUUCUUAAUAAGUGAAAAUUCUUAUAAAUAAACAAUAGACGAGAAGACCCUAGAAAUUUUUUGUACUUAGGUAUUCCCUAAUUCAUUUUGUUGGGGCGACAGAGUAACAUUUAACUUACUUUCCUAUAAGAAUUUUGUAUCAAGUUAAAAUAAAUUACUCUAGGGAUAACAGCAUAAUUUUUAUAAGUUUGUGACCUCGAUGUUGGACUAGGGACUUUAAUGUGCAGAAGACAUUAAAUUUGCUCUGUUCGAGCAGAACUCCCUACGUGAUCUGAGUUCAGACCGG